AACGAACGCUGGCGGCAUGCCUAACACAUGCAAGUCGAACGGGAACUUCGUGCCUAGUGGCGCACGGGGGCGUAACGCGGGGGAACCUGCCCUUAGGUUCGGAAUAACUCCCCGUAAGGGGUGCUAAUACAGGAGAAUGUCUUCGGACCAAAGAUGUAUCGCCUUUGGUUGGGCCCGAGUUGGUUUAGCUAGUUGGGAGGGCAAAAGCCGACCAAGGCGACGAUGCAUAGCUGGUCUGUGAGGAUGCUCAGCCACACUGGGAGUGAGACACGGCCCAGACUCCUGGGAGAGGGAGCAGAGGGUAAUCUAGGACAAGGGGCGAAAUGCAGAUACAGCACGGGCGGGAGAGCGAUGAAGGCCUUAGAGUUGUAAAGCGCUUUUACCCGGGAUGAUAAUGACAGUACCGGGAGAAUAAGCUCCGGCUAACUCCGUG
rnacentral:rRNA from 1 species